rnacentral:rRNA from 1 species
CCUACGGGUGGCAGCAGUGAGGAAUAUUGGUCAAUGGGCGGAAGCCUGAACCAGCCAAGUAGCGUGCGGGAUGAAGGCCCUACGGGUCGUAAACCGCUUUUGCACGGGGAUAACACCCUCCACUUGUGGAGGUCUGCGGGUACCGUUCGAAUCAGGGCCGGCUAAUUCCGUGCCAGCAGCCGCGGUCAUACGGAAGGCCCGAGCGUUAGACGGAUUCAUUGGGCUUAAGGGGAGCGUAGGCGGGCGUUCAAGUCAGCUGUAAAAUCGCGCGGCGCAACCGCGCCCCGUGGUUGAAACUGGACGCGUUGAGUUCACAACAGGCAGGCGGAAUGCGUGGUGUAGCGGUGAAAU